rnacentral:rRNA from 1 species
GAUGAACGCUGGCGGCGUGCCUAAUACAUGCAAGUCGAGCGAAGAGGGCACGGGUGAGUAACACGUGGAUAACCUGCUAUAAGACUGGGGUAACUUCGGGAAACCGGAGCUAAAACGGCUAAUUAUCGAUGGAUCCGCGCUGCAUUAGCUAGGUGGUAAGGUAACGGCUUACCAAGGCAACGAUGCAUAGCCGAACUGAGAGGGUGAUCGGCCACACGGGAACUGAGACACGGUCCAGAUUCCUACGGGAGGCAGCAGUAGGGAAGCUUGCGCAAUGGGCGCAAGCCUGACGGAGCAACGCCGCGUGUGUGAUGAAGGUCUUCGGAUCGUAAAACUCUGUUAUUAGGGAAGCGGUACCUAAUCAGAAAGCCACGGCUAACUCCGUGCCAGCAGCCGCGGUAAUUC